rnacentral:rRNA from 1 species
GCCGGAUACGUCAAGACGUGCCUAGCACAUGCAAAUCGAAUGAAAAGAAUUAAUUAUUGUUUUCAUGGUGAACGGGUGAGUAACACAUAAGAAUCAGCUUUUAGAUAAGGCAUAAAAGAGUAAUAUCUUGGUAAUUCCUUAUAUGCGCAGCAGUGCUUAAAAAGGGGAGUCCCGUCUAAAAACGAGCUUAUGCCUGAUUAGCUAGUUGGCGAGUUAAAAGCUCACCAAGGCGAAGAUCGGUAGCUGGCCUGAGAGGGCGGCCAGCCACAUUGGGACUGAGACACGGCCCAAACUCCUACGGGAGGCAGCAGUGGGGAAUCUUCUGCAAUGGGCGCAAGCCUGACAGAGCGGCGUCGUGUGAAGGAAGAAGGCCUGAAAUAGGUUGUAAACUUCUUUUACUGAAUAAUGAAUAAUGGCAACGCAGUAAAAAAGUAUCGGCUAACUCCGUGCCAGCAGCCGCGGUAAUACGGGGGAUGCAAGCGUUAUCCGGAAUCACUGGGCGUAAAGCGUCUGUAGGUGGUUUAGUGUGUUCUUAGUUAAAUUCUGAAGCCUAACUUCAUGAAAAGUAAGAAAACUAUUAGACUUGAGUACGAUAGGGGUAAGAGGAAUUCUUCGAGAAGUAGUGAAAUGCGAAGAUACGAAGGAGAAGAUCAUAAGCGAAGGCUUCUUACUGGGUCGUAACUGACACUGAGAGACGAAAGCUAGGGGAGCGAAUGGGAUUAGAUACCCCAGUAGUCCUAGCUGUAAACGAUGGAUAUUCGGUGCCGGAAAUUUUAUUAGAACAUUUCGGUACCCUAGCUAACGCGUUAAAUAUCCCGCCUGAGGAGUACGCUCGCAAGGGUGAACUCAAUGAAUUGACGGAAGGGC